AGGUGGGAACAUCCAGUUGCGGGAAAACAAGCUUAACACGCCCACUGAUUCUACAUUAUGCUCCUACCUCCCGGCAGCCUCUCCAGGCCCAGAACUUUCUCCAGUCAGCCUCUACAGACCAAGCUCAUGACUCACAAUGGCCUAUUUAGGCCCAUACCCUACGUCACGGCAGCCUCCGCAGAUGAGCCUACUGCCUCACAACAGCCUCCACAGGCACAGCUCCAUCGUUACAAUGGCCUCUUUAGACCCAGCUCCUGCCUCCCAGCCUUCUCUCCAGGCUCUGAACUUUCUCAGGUCUCCCUCUGUUGUCCAAGGCUGGAGUGUAGUAGUGCUAUCGCAGCUGACUGCAGCCUCAACCUUCCAGGCUGAAGCGAUCCUCCCACCUCAACCUCCCACGUGGCUGAGACUACAGGUGCUUGCCACUAUGCCCAACUAACAUUUGGAAUUUUCGUAUACGUG
rnacentral:lncRNA from 10 species